CCCUCAGCCCACUCCUCUCAGUUCCAUCUCCCCUCAGGACCAUCUCCCCUCAGCCUCAUCUCCCCUCAGCCCCAUCUCCCCCCACCCAUCUCCUCUCAGUUCCAUCUCCUCUCAUCCCAUUCCCCUCAGCCAUAUCUCCCCUCAGCCCACUCUUCUCAGCUCCAUCUCCCCUCAGCCCCAUCUUCCCUCAGCUUUUCCCAUGGGGGAGCGACUGUAACUGUUGGUGGAAACAGGCAGGAGUUAAUACAGUGGGUAACUAAUGGUGAAAGGAAAUCUCUCAGGACCUCAGCACAGGACUCAUUUUCAUUUUAGAUGUUUAUACAGAAGGCAGCACCUCCUGGUACAAGGGCAAGUCAUUCCCUCUGUCCCCUCUCCAGGCAACACUGGGACACGCACCAGCAAAUUUGUCACUGCCCCAGUCCCUUCCCAGCCUCACCGAUGGCUCGUCCACAGGCUCCCAGAGCUUCUGUUCGAUUACAGGAGCUGAAGUUCCACUCGCUGUAAAAGAAAUGGACACAAACAGAAAGCAUCCCAUCCUGCAUCCAGGGAGGAGGUUACAGUGUCAUCAGUCCAGUAGGGCCAGGUGGAGGUGUGAUAACCUUGGAGAAGUGAGUACAGAUCAUUGAAAACUAACAGAGGAUGAGCAAAUCCCCAGAAAGGAAUUAUUGUCUUCAUGUAGAUCCUGGAGUGGAAAUGUCAUUGGUUUUAUAUGAAGCUUGAGAGUGUCAUGUACAAGUAGAGUUCUACAAAACCCAGUUUGGAAGCCAAAUCUCAAAGUGCUCUGGCUGUUAAAAUACUGGAUGUGUCAAUGUUUGUUAUAACUAGAACAUCAGGAACCCCAGGCCUCCAACACCCUGCAAACCUGCAUUAACCUGACACCUUUUACAAGCUUUGAAAAGAAAUCACAGGAAUGCAGGCACAUCCCAGAGCAUCCUGCCAACGUGUUUACUCACUGCUGGGAUGAGCACACCCAAGAUGAGAAAGUUCUCUUAACCAUGACAGGAAACCAUUUUCCAUCACAGUCCUUUGGGUGUUUUACUAACACCGCAGGGGGCAGCUCUGCCUUCGGGACCUGCCAAGGACACCGAGGGCACCUGACGGUGGUGCAGGGGACAGCAGUGCCCAGCUGUGAUCCCUCCUGCCAGGGCACUGUGGGAGCAACACACGGCUGGAUUAAGUGACAGGAGCAGCGUCAGGGGAGGUGAGACACCUCCUGCCCUGGUUCUCUUGUCCUGUAACGUGCCUUGGACUGUGUUUGCCUGUGCUGUGCCACAACUGCCUUAGCACUGCAAGCACCUCAGCAGGGAUGUGUGGACACACUGUAAAUCAGAGGCAGAGGUGGAACUUGACCCAGUGAUGCAGAGAGCCAGUUCCUCAGCUCUAUCAAAUACACAUCCUGUAAUUGCACAGCCAUAUAUUGUUUCUUAGUGUAGUCAAGCACAAACUAUUUAAGGCAGGGAUUCCCUAUGCAUGUAAUUGUAUGUUAUAUAAGAAGAGUUAUGUGUCUAAUUGUUACUGGGAAAAAAAGAAGUAUAAGAAUAAUAAGUGGUAUGAUUCCUGCCUUCCCUAGUAGUGCCUGUUUUCCUUGAAGUAAUCAGGGACUUGUUGCUAGGUAGUUAAUAUUAAAGGUACCUUAAAUAUUUUAAUGUGUCUAUGCCAGCUGUUUCUAGGCAGCAAUAUUUGUUUAUGAUAUUGUUAUCCAACCCUACUUAUAUCCUUUAUUCAGUGUAAUCUAAUAUAUCCAUACAGUUAACACUGCAGUCCUGAUACUUCUUUAUUCACAGAGUAGCAUACUGAAGUAACUACUGUUAAGAAUUAUGGAAUACCUCUAAUGUACAAGAUUUAAUCUUAGUCAAGAUGCACUGGUAGCUACCAGUUCAAAUAUUUGAACCUGAAUUAAAUACUUAAAUAACACAAUUUGAAAAUUGGUAGUGCUUCUGUGCACUUUCAGCAUCAGCAGAUGCUUACAGAAUUCCAAAGUUUUAAAGUAAAUUAUACGAUUUCAGUCCAAUGCCUGAUUAAGGGUACGUGUCAUCAUUUCAUCAGUCCCUUGGAAAUAAAAAUUGCUGUAUUUUUGGCCAUUGGGUAACAUUGCUCUAGGUUUUCCUUGGUUUAAUCUCAUUUCUAUUAAAAAAAAAAAUAGAAAAACUCGCCUGGUUUAAAAAUUAUGGCUCUUACUAACAGAUUGUACACUCUGAGCUGUGCACUUGGAGAGGUGAGAGACUGCUGAUGACUCCUGUUCUUUGCCACAGAUCUAUAUGGGCUGUGGAAAACACAUUAUCUGCCUGCCAGCCCUGUGGGAAUUGCGUGAGGGAAUUAUUCCAGACACUGCUCAUUUCUGCAAAUGGAAGGAGCUGAGCUUUCCUGACAAGACAGGAGUGGAUGGGAACUCAAAG